rnacentral:rRNA from 1 species
UACGUAGGGACCGAGCGUUGUCCGGAACCAUUGGGCGUAAAGAGCGUGUAGGCGGCUCGCUAAGUCUUGCGUGAAAUCUCGGGGCUCAACCCCGAGCGGUCGUGAGAAACUGGCGGGCUAGAGUGCGGGAGAGGAGAGUGGAAUUCCUGGUGUAGCGGUGAAAUGCGCAGAUAUCAGGAAGAACACCCGUGGCGAAGGCGGCUCUCUGGAACGCAACUGACGCUGAGACGCGAAAGCGUGGGGAGCAAACAGG